GAGAGCGUGGCUUAGUUGGUUAGAGCGUCGGCUUGUCACGCCGAAAAUCGCGGGUUCAAAUCCCGUCGUUCUCG
rnacentral:tRNA from 1 species